rnacentral:lncRNA from 1 species
CGGUCUACUAGGGGAAUAUCCUGGUCUACUAGGGGAAUAUCCUGGUCUACUAGGGGAAUAUCCCUGUGGAUCCUGGUCUACUAGGGGAAUACCCUGUGGAUCCCGGUCUACUUGAGGAAUAUCCCUGUGGAUCCUGGUCUACUAGGGGAAUAUCCUGGUUCUACUAGGGGAAUAUCCUGUGGGAUCCCGUCUACUAGGGAAAUCCUGGCUCUAGGGGAAAUCCAUGUGGAUCCCGGUUCUAUAGGGAAUAUCCCUGUGGAUCCCGGUCUACUAGGGGAAUAUCCUGUUGGAUCCCGAGUCACUAGUGGAAUAUCCCUUGGAUCCCGGUCUACUUGGGGAAUAUCCUGUGGAUCCCGGUCUACU